rnacentral:rRNA from 1 species
CGGUAAUAGCUGGUUCCUCUCGAAACUGCUCGCAGGCAGACCUCAGCUGAGACGGGGCAUGCGGUAGAGCACUGAUUGCGUGUUUAGGAAGCGAAAGUUUUCGGCAUGCUGUCAAACUCCGAAUGUGUGUUCGUCGUAGAAGCUGGGCAGUGAGGGCAUCGGGGUAAGCUUGAUGUCCAUAAGGAAAACAAACCAGACCAAAGUUAAGGUCCCUAAGUAACAGCUAAGUGUUAAAGAACAAAUAGUGUUUAACAGCAUAGACAGCUGGAAGGUUGGCUUAGAGGCAGCCAUCCUUUAAAGAGUUCGUAACAGAUCACCAGUCAAGUUCUUGAGCCUAGAAAAUGGACGGGACUAAGUUGUUCACCGAUACUUUGGGCCACCGAAAGGUGAUGCGGUAGAGAGGCGUCGUGCGCGGGUGGAAGUGGGGCCGAGAGGUCCUGUGGACCGCGUUCGAAUGAUAAUCAUGGAAAGAGUAGUAGCGUAGAUGGGUGAGAAUCCCAUCCGCCGGAGGGGCUAGGGUUCCUCGACGAUGUUCAUCAGUCGAGGGUUAGUCGGUCCUAAGGUUCCCCCUAACAGGAGGAAUCGAAAGGGAAGCAGGUUAAAAUUCCUGCACCAAUUCAUAUUUUGUCCAGUUCCUGACACAUCGGGUCUUGUGGAGCACUCUUGUCGGAGUGUUGCCUUGAGCGAUAAAUUUGUGGAGUACCGUAAUGGUGAGAAGCAAACUAAGCUUUUGGGAGGCGGAGUAUUUCGCUUCUGCGUUAGCCUGGUGUCCGUGAAAAGGGAGCUGGAGCCGUAUGAGUUGUCCGUACCGAGAUCUGACACAGGUGCCCCUAGGUGAGUAGCCUAAGGCGUCGCGGCAGAAUCCGGGCGAGGGAAUUCGGCAAAUUAGCCCCGUACCUUUGGUAUAAGGGGUGCCAGCUCUGAAGAGAGCUGGUCGCAGUGACUAGGGAGCUCCGACUGUUUAUUAAAAACACAGGUGGCUGCUAGUCCGUAAGGAUGUGUAUAGCCGCUGAAUCCUGCCCAGUGGCAGUAUCUGAAACCAGGUUUCAACCUGACGAAGGACUGCUAAACGGCGGGGGUAACUAUGACCCUCUUAAGGUAGCGUAAUACCUUGUCGCUUAAUUGGCGACUUGCACGAACGGCCUAACGAGAGCUCUACUGUCCCCGCCCGGAGCCCGAUGAAAUUGACUUACUGGCGCACAGUCCAGUACGUCCCAGCCGCAAGCGAAGACCCCGUGGAGCUUUACUGCAACCUGCCGUUGUGGCACGAGUUGUUAUGUGUAGCGUAGACGGGAGACAUUACACAGGUGCGAGCGCUAGCUCGUCGCCGAGUCACCGAUGAAACACCGUCCUUUUCGAUUCGUCCCACUCACCUCUUAGGAGGAACCCCGGUAGGCGGGCAGUUUGGGUGGGGCGCCACUCCCUCGAAAAAAUAACAAGGGAGCCCAAAGGUCAGCUUAGGUAGGUCAGGAAUCUACCGUUAAGUGCAAGGGCAAAAGCUGGCUUGACGUGGUUUGGCAACACAACAAACCACGAUGUGAAAGCAGGGCCUAGCGAACCAACCAGCGCCGUUAGUAGGUGCGGUUGAUAACAGAAAAGUUACCCCGGGGAUAACUGAGUUGUCUGGAGCAAGAGCCCACAUCGACCUCCAGGCUUGCUACUUCGAUGUCGUCUCUUCCUAUCCUGGGUGUGCAGAAGCACCCAAGGGUGGGGUUGUUCGCCCAUUAAAAGGGAUCGUGAGAUGGG